GAAGAUUGUUUCUGGGUCCUCCGUGCCACAAGAGGGAGUCACCUGCUCACCGCCAGAGUCCACCUAUGAGCACAGACCUCCAGGCAACACCUUUUGCUCUUCUUCCCGUUAUUCGCAAGGUGCUGAAGUCAAACUUUGAGCGAGCCUGAAAAGUAGCAGUAAACAUGAUCGGCUUCCUGCUCUCAAAAGACCCAACAGUCUAUCUCCCUGGUCAACACACCCGUC